GAUGAACGCUGGCGGCGUGCCUAAUACAUGCAAGUCGAGCGAACGGACGAGAAGCUUGCUUCUCUGAUGUUAGCGGCGGACGGGUGAGUAACACGUGGAUAACCUACCUAUAAGACUGGGAUAACUUCGGGAAGCCGGAGCUAAUACCGGAUAAUAUUUUGAACCGCAUGGUUCAAAAGUGAAAGACGGUCUUGCUGUCACUUAUAGAUGGAUCCGCGCUGCAUUAGCUAGUUGGUAAGGUAACGGCUUACCAAGGCAACGAUGCAUAGCCGACCUGAGAGGGUGAUCGGCCACACUGGAACUGAGACACGGUCCAGACUCCUACGGGAGGCAGCAGUGGGGAAUCUUCCGCAAUGGGCGAAAGCCUGACGGAGCAACGCCGCGUGAGUGAUGAAGGUCUUCGGAUCGUAAAACUCUGUUAUUAGGGAAGAACAUAUGUGUAAGUAACUGUGCACAUCUUGACGGUACCUAAUCAGAAAGCCACGGCUAACUACGUG
rnacentral:rRNA from 1 species